UGCAGCAGGGCCAAAAUGGAGGUCAAGGGAAAGCUGUUAGGAAGGAAACAGAAAAAGAGAAGGAUGUGGGAACUCCUCGUUUCAUCUAUGGUGUAGGAUGACUCUCAGUAACAGACUACCUACAAAAUUUAAAAAGGAUCAUCAAAAGAAGGUGAGGACAGUGAAAAUCCAGAAAAUGGAAGUAGAAUUUACAUGGAUUAAACACACAGAACAGUACAUGACACUGACAGUAUUGUUUUAUUGAGUCAUCAGAAUAGAAACCCCUGCAGGAUUCUAUGGUGUGUCUGACAUGGAACAUUGUGAUAAAAA